AUUGAACGCUGGCGGCAUGCUUUACACAUGCAAGUCGAACGGCAGCGCGGGCUUCGGCCUGGCGGCGAGUGGCGAACGGGUGAGUAAUACAUCGGAACGUGCCCUGUAGUGGGGGAUAGCUCGACGAAAGCCGGAUUAAUACCGCAUACGACCUGAGGGUGAAAGCGAGGGAUCUUCGGACCAAGCGCUAUUGGAGCGGCCGAAGGCAGAUUAGCUAGUUGGUGGGGUAAAGGCCUACCAAGGCGACGAUCUGUAGCUGGUCUGAGAGGACGACCAGCCACACUGGGACUGAGACACGGCCCAGACUCCUACGGGAGGCAGCAGUGGGGAAUUUUGGACAAUGGGCGAAAGCCUGAUCCAGCAAUGCCGCGUGUGUGAUGAAGGCCUUCGGGUUGUAAAGCACUUUUGGCGGGAACGAAAAGGACUGUGCCAAUACCACGGUUCGAUGACGGUACCCGCAGAAUAAGCAACGGCUAACUACGUG
rnacentral:rRNA from 1 species